CGAGUGAGUUAAACGACCGCCUGCGGUUAUUUUUUCCGCGGGAGGAAAGUCCGGACUCCGCAGAGCAAAAUGCCGGGUAACGCCCGGGCGCCGUGAGGCGACGGAAAGUGCCACAGAAAACAAACCGCCAUCGUCUGAAAAGGCGGCGGCAAGGGUGAAAUGGUGCGGUAAGAGCGCACCGCACGAGCGGUAACGCCCGUGGCAGGGUAAACCCCAUUUGGAGCAAGGCCAAACAGGAACUAUGGCGCGGCUCGCGUCGUUUCGGGUAGGCCGCAAGAGGGUGUCGGUAACGGUACUCCCAGAUAAAUGGUCGUUCUUGACAGAAUCCGGCUUAUAGACUUUCUCGCCAC
rnacentral:RNase_P_RNA from 1 species